CACCAUCAGUUAAAAUACGCAGAAUGGAUCCUUUCUCUACAAAAGAACCUCCUCUUCAAUAGUAUUUGAAGAUUCUGGCUGUGAUAAUGCUUCCAGUAAAGAAGAGCCGAAAACUAAUCGAUUGUAUAUUGGCAACCAUUGUGCUAAUAAACUAACUGCUUUCAAACCCACCAGUAGCAAAUCUUCUGAAGCUACAUUGUCUAUUUCUCCUCCGAGACCAACCACUUUAAGUUUAGAUCUCACUAAAAACACCACAGAAAAACUCCAGCCCAGUUCACCAAAGGUGUAUCUUUACAUUCAAAUGCAGCUGUGCAGAAAAGAAAACCUCAAAGACUGGAUGAAUGGACGAUGUACCAUAGAGGAGAGAGAGAGGAGCAUGUGUCUGCACAUCUUCCUGCAGAUCGCAGAGGCAGUGGAGUUUCUUCACAGUAAAGGACUGAUGCACAGGGACCUCAAGCCAUCCAACAUAUUCUUUACAAUGGAUGAUGUGGUCAAAGUUGGAGACUUUGGGUUAGUGACUGCAAUGGACCAGGAUGAGGAAGAGCAGACGGUUCUGACACCAAUGCCAGCUUAUGCCAG
rnacentral:sRNA from 1 species